CGCGGCCUAUCAGCUUGUUGGUGGGGUGAUGGCCUACCAAGGCAGUGACGGGUAGCCGGCCUGAGAGGGCGACCGGCCACACUGGGACUGAGACACGGCCCAGACUCCUACGGGAGGCAGCAGUGGGGAAUAUUGCGCAAUGGGCGGAAGCCUGACGCAGCGACGCCGCGUGAGGGAUGACGGUCUUCGGAUUGUAAACCUCUUUCACCCACGACGAAGCGAAAGUGACGGUAGUGGGAGAAGAAGCACCGGCCAACUACGUGCCAGCAGCCGCGGUAAUACGUAGGGUGCAAGCGUUGUCCGGAAUUAUUGGGCGUAAAGAGCUCGUAGGCGGCUUGUCACGUCGACUGUGAAAACCCGGGGCUCAACUCCGGGCCUGCAGUCGAUACGGGCUGGCUUGAGUGCGAUAGGGGAGACUGGAAUUCCUGGUGUAGCGGUGAAAUGCGCAGAUAUCAGGAGGAACACCGGUGGCGAAGGCGGGUCUCUGGGCCGUAACUGACGCUGAGGAGCGAAAGCGUGGGGAGCGAACAGGAUUAGAUACCCUGGUAGUCCACGCCGUAAACGUUGGGCGCUAGGUGUGGGGACCUAUCCACG
rnacentral:rRNA from 1 species